rnacentral:piRNA from 1 species
UCUCUGUGGGACCCACUGGGCCUCCUCCACGC